UACGGAGGGCGCGAGCGUUGUUCGGAAUCACUGGGCGUAAAGCGCGUGUAGGCGGCCGAGCAAGUCGGAUGUGAAAUCCCGAGGCUCAACCUCGGAACUGCAUUCGAAACUGCUCGGCUCGAGUCCCGGAGAGGAUGGCGGAAUUCCCGGUGUAGGGGUGAAAUCCGUAGAUAUCGGGAGGAACACCAGUGGCGAAGGCGGCCAUCUGGACGGUGACUGACGCUGAGACGCGAAAGCGUGGGGAGCAAACAGG
rnacentral:rRNA from 1 species